ncrna:Capitella teleta microRNA cte-mir-2001 precursor
CUCACGUUGUGACCGUUAUAAUGGGCAUGAAGUCAUUCUGAGCAAUGCUCCUUAUAACGAUCUCAAGGCG